rnacentral:rRNA from 1 species
UGGGGAAUAUUGGACAAUGGGGGCAACCCUGAUCCAGCGACGCCGCGUGGGUGAAGAAGGCCUGCGGGUUGUAAAGCCCUUUCGGUGGGGAAGAAAAGUUUCGGCCUAAUACGCUGAGACCUUGACGUAACCCACUAAAGAAGCACCGGCUAACUCUGUGCCAGCAGCCGCGGUAAUACAGAGGGUGCGAGCGUUAAUCGGAAUUACUGGGCGUAAAGCGCGCGUAGGCGGCUUUUCAAGUCGAUUGUGAAAUCCCCGGGCUUAACCUGGGAACUGCAGUCGAGACUGUCUAGCUAGAGUAUGGGAGAGGGAAGUGGAAUUUCAGGUGUAGCGGUGAAAUGCGUAGAUAUCUGAAGGAACAUCAGUGGCGAAAGCGACUUCCUGGACCAAUACUGACGCUCAUGUGCGAAAGCGUGGGGAGCAAACAGG